CCUACGGGUGGCUGCAGUGGGGAAUAUUGGACAAUGGGGGCAACCCUGAUCCAGCCAUGCCGCGUGUGUGAAGAAGGCCCUCGGGUUGUAAAGCACUUUCAGUGAGGAAGAACGCCUGGUGGUUAAUACCCAUCAGGAAAGACAUCACUCACAGAAGAAGCACCGGCUAACUCCGUGCCAGCAGCCGCGGUAAUACGGAGGGUGCGAGCGUUAAUCGGAAUUACUGGGCGUAAAGCGCGCGUAGGUGGCUUGAUAAGCCGGUUGUGAAAGCCCCGGGCUCAACCUGGGAACGGCAUCCGGAACUGUCAAGCUAGAGUGCAGGAGAGGAAGGUAGAAUUCCCGGUGUAGCGGUGAAAGGCGUAGAGAUCGGGAGGAAUACCAGUGGCGAAGGCGGCCUUCUGGACUGACACUGACACUGAGGUGCGAAAGCGUGGGUAGCAAACAGGAUUAGAUACCCCAGUAGUC
rnacentral:rRNA from 1 species